rnacentral:tRNA from 1 species
GUUCUUAUAGUUGAAAUACAACGAUGAUUUUUCAUGUCAUUAGUCAUGGUUAAAUUC